GACGAACGCUGGCGGCGUGCCUAAUACAUGCAAGUCGAGCGAAUCAAUGGGAGCUUGCUCCCGUUGGUUAGUGGCGGACGGGUGAGUAACACGUGGGCAACCUGCCUGUAAGACUGGGAUAACACCGGGAAACCGGUGCUAAUACCGGAUAAUCCUUUUCCUCUCAUGAGGAAAAGCUGAAAGUCGGUUUUUAGCUGACACUUACAGAUGGGCCCGCGGCGCAUUAGCUAGUUGGUGAGGUAACGGCUCACCAAGGCGACGAUGCGUAGCCGACCUGAGGGGGUGCUGGGCCACACUGGAACUGAGACACGGCCCAGACUCCUACGGGAGGAAGCAGUAGGGAAUCUUCCGCAAUGGACGAAAGUCUGACGGAGCAACGCCGCGUGAGCGAUGAAGGCCUUCGGGUCGUAAAGCUCUGUUGUUAGGGAAGAACAAGUGCCGGAGUAACUGCCGGUACCUUGACGGUACCUAACCAGAAAGCCACGGCUAACUACGUGCCAGCAGCCACCGUAAUAC
rnacentral:rRNA from 1 species